UACGGAGGAUGCGAGCGUUAUCCGGAUUCAUUGGGCGUAAAGCGCGCGCAGGCGGGUUGCUAAGCGGGACCUCUAAUCCUGGGGCUCAACCUCAGGCCGGGUCCCGAACUGGCAGCCUCGGGUUCGGUAGGGGAGAUCGGAAUUCCCGGUGUAGCGGUGGAAUGCGCAGAUAUCGGGAAGAACACCGAUGGCGAAGGCAGAUCUCUGGGCCGCAACCGACGCUGAGGCGCGAAAGCUAGGGGAGCGAACAGG
rnacentral:rRNA from 1 species